rnacentral:rRNA from 1 species
UGAGGAAUAUUGGUCAAUGGACGAGAGUCUGAACCAGCCGAGUAGCGUGAAGGAUGACUGCCCUAUGGGUUGUAAACUUCUUUUAUAUGGGAAUAAAGUUUUCCACGUGUGGAAUUUUGUAUGUACCAUAUGAAUAAGGAUCGGCUAACUCCGUGCCAGCAGCCGCGGUAAUACGGAGGAUCCGAGCGUUAUCCGGAUUUAUUGGGUUUAAAGGGAGCGUAGGUGGACAGUUAAGUCAGUUGUGAAAGUUUGCGGCUCAACCGUAAAAUUGCCGUUGAAACUGGUUGACUUGAGUAUAUUUGAGGUAGGCGGAAUGCGUGGUGUAGCGGUGAAAUGCUUAGAUAUCACGAAGAACUCCGAUUGCGAAGGCAGCCUGCUGAGCUGCAACUGACAUUGAGGCUCGAAAGUGUGGGUAUCAAACAGG